UUACGAACAAGGUUACAUCGGUA
rnacentral:siRNA from 1 species